rnacentral:rRNA from 1 species
GGGAUUGCCCUAGUAACGGCGAGUGAAGCGGCAACAGCUCAAAUUUGAAAUCUGGCGCAAGCCCGAGUUGUAAUUUGUAGAGGAUGCUUCUGGGUAGCGACCGGUCUAAGUUCCUUGGAACAGGACGUCAUAGAGGGUGAGAAUCCCGUAUGUGACCGGCCCGCACCCUUUACGUAGCUCCUUCGACGAGUCGAGUUGUUUGGGAAUGCAGCUCUAAAUGGGAGGUAAAUUUCUUCUAAAGCUAAAUACCGGCCAGAGACCGAUAGCGCACAAGUAGAGUGAUCGAAAGAUGAAAAGUACUUUGGAAAGAGAGUUAAAAAGCACGUGAAAUUGUUGAAAGGGAAGCGCCUGCAAUCAGACUUCGCGGCAGUGUUCCGCCGGUCUUCUGACCGGUUCAUUCUCUGUCGCGAGGCCAUCAUCGUCUCGGCCCGCYGGAUAAGACCUUGGGAAUGUAGCUCACCUUCGGGGGAGUGUUAUAGCUCAUGGUGAUGCAGCGAGGCUGGGGCGAGGUCCGCGCUUCGGCAAGGAUGAUGGCGUAAUGGUUGUCGGCGGCCCGUCUUGAAACACGGACCAAGGAGUCUAACAUCUAUGCGAGUGUUCGGGUGUCAAACCCCUACGCGUAAUGAAAGUGAACGGAGGUGGGAACCGCAAGGUGCACCAUCGACCGAUCCUGAUGUCCUCGGAUGGAUUUGAGUAAGAGCAUAGCUGUUGGGACCCGAAAGAUGGUGAACUAUGCCUGAAUAGGGUGAAGCCAGAGGAAACUCUGGUGGAGGCUCGCAGCGGUUCUGACGUGCAAAUCGAUCGUCAAAUUUGGGUAUAGGGGCG